rnacentral:rRNA from 1 species
GACAGAGGGGGCAAGCGUUGCUCGGAAUCACUGGGCGUAAAGGGCGCGUAGGCGGGUCCGGAAGUCGGUCGUGAAAUCCCUGGGCUCAACCCGGGGGGGUCGGCCGAGACUCUGGGUCUUGAGGGGAGCAGAGGAGCCUGGAAUUCCCGGUGUAGCGGUGAAAUGUGUAGAGAUCGGGAGGAACACCGGUGGCGAAGGCGGGGCUCUGGGCUCACCCUGACGCUGAGGCGCGAAAGCGUGGGGAGCAAACGGG